AUGGCUCUAACAAAAUCAACCAAACUUCCUCAAACUCAACUCAUCAAACAAAUCCUUAAAAGAUGUUCAAGUCUAGCCAAAAAACAACAACAACAAUCCUACUAUGAUCACGUUCCUAAAGGUCACUUUGUUGUCUAUGUUGGUGAAAACCGAAGCAGGUACAUUGUUCCAAUUUCCUUCCUAACAAGACCAGAGUUUCAAAACCUUUUACAUCAAGCUGAAGAAGAGUUUGGAUUUGAUCAUGACAUGGGUCUAACCAUCCCUUGCGACCAAGUUGUUUUUGAGUCUCUUACUUCCAUGCUUAGAUAG